rnacentral:rRNA from 1 species
GAUGAACGCUAGCUACAGGCUUAACACAUGCAAGUCGAGGGGAAACGACAUCGAAAGCUUGCUUUUGAUGGGCGUCGACCGGCGCACGGGUGAGUAACGCGUAUCCAACCUGCCCACCACUUGGGGAUAACCUUGCGAAAGUAAGACUAAUACCCAAUGACGUCUCUAGAAGACAUCUGAAAGAGAUUAAAGAUUUAUCGGUGAUGGAUGGGGAUGCGUCUGAUUAGCUUGUUGGCGGGGUAACGGCCCACCAAGGCGACGAUCAGUAGGGGUUCUGAGAGGAAGGUCCCCCACAUUGGAACUGAGACACGGUCCAAACUCCUACGGGAGGCAGCAGUGAGGAAUAUUGGUCAAUGGACGAGAGUCUGAACCAGCCAAGUAGCGUGCAGGAUGACGGCCCUAUGGGUUGUAAACUGCUUUUAUAAGGGAAUAAAGUUAGUCUCGUGAGACUUUUUGCAUGUACCUUAUGAAUAAGGACCGGCUAAUUCCGUGCCAGCAGCCGCGGUAAUACGGAAGGUCCGGGCGUUAUCCGGAUUUAUUGGGUUUAAAGGGAGCGUAGGCCGGAGAUUAAGCGUGUUGUGAAAUGUAGACGCUCAACGUCUGCACUGCAGCGCGAACUGGUUUCCUUGAGUACGCACAAAGUGGGCGGAAUUCGUGGUGUAGCGGUGAAAUGCUUAGAUAUCACGAAGAACUCCGAUUGCGAAGGCAGCUCACUGGAGCGCAACUGACGCUGAAGCUCGAAAGUGCGGGUAUCGAACAGGAUUAGAUACCCUGGUAGUCCGCACGGUAAACGAUGGAUGCCCGCUGUUGGUCUGAAUAGGUCAGCGGCCAAGCGAAAGCAUUAAGCAUCCCACCUGGGGAGUACGCCGGCAACGGUGAAACUCAAAGGAAUUGAC